rnacentral:rRNA from 1 species
GAUGAACGCUGGCGGCGUGCCUAAUACAUGCAAGUCGAGCGAACAGACGAGGAGCUUGCUCCUCUGACGUUAGCGGCGGACGGGUGAGUAACACGUGGAUAACCUACCUAUAAGACUGGGAUAACUUCGGGAAACCGGAGCUAAUACCGGAUAAUAUAUUGAACCGCAUGGUUCAAUAGUGAAAGACGGUUUUGCUGUCACUUAUAGAUGGAUCCGCGCCGCAUUAGCUAGUUGGUAAGGUAACGGCUUACCAAGGCAACGAUGCGUAGCCGACCUGAGAGGGUGAUCGCCCACACUGGAACAUACACCCGCCCGACCCCCCCACGGGAGGCAGCAGGGGGGAUUUUCCCGCAAAGGGCGAAACCCUGAGGGACCAACCCCGCGGGAGAAAGAAAGGUGUUCGGACCAAAAAACUCUUUUAUUAGGGAAAAACAAAUUUGAAAGUACAUAUGCCCGCCUGGACGUUCCAUAAUAAAAAGCCCACGGCAAACUACGUG